rnacentral:rRNA from 1 species
CCUACGGGUGGCAGCAGUGAGGAAUAUUGGUCAAUGGGCGCGAGCCUGAACCAGCCAAGUAGCGUGAAGGAUGACUGCCCUACGGGUUGUAAACUUCUUUUAUAAAGGAGUAAAGUGAGGCACGUGUGCGUUUUUGUAUGUACUUUAUGAAUAAGGAUCGGCUAACUCCGUGCCAGCAGCCGCGGUAAUACGGAGGAUCCGAGUGUUAUCCGGAUUUAUUGGGUUUCAAGGGAGCGUAGAUGGAUUGUUAGGUCAUCGGUAAAAGCCCGGGGCUCAACCCCGGCGAGCCGUUGAAACUGGCUGUCUUGAGAUGUCGAGAGGUAUGCGGAAUGCGCAGUGUAGCGGUGAAAUGCUUAGAGAUUGCGCAGAACUCCGAUUGCGAAGGCAGCAUACCGGCGGCGAACUGACGCUGAGGCACGAAAGCGUGGGUAUCGAACAGGAUUAGAUACACCUGUAGUC